GGGGUUGUAGCUCAGUGGUAGAGCGCUUGCCUAGCAUGCAUGAGGCACUAGGUUUGAUCCCCAGCACCACA
rnacentral:tRNA from 1 species